rnacentral:rRNA from 1 species
AGCAGCAGCCGCGGUAAUACGAAGGGGGCUAGCGUAGUUCGGAAUUACUGGGCGUAAAGCGCAUGUAGGCGGAUAUUUAAGUCAGGGGUGAAAUCCCGCGGCUCAACUGCGGAACUGCCUUUGAUACUGGGUAUCUUGAGUAUGGAAGAGGUUAGUGGAAUUGCGAGUGUAGAGGUGAAAUUUGUAGAUAUUCGCAGGAACACCAGUGGCGAAGGCGGCUAACUGGUCCAUAACUGACGCUGAGGUGCGAAAGCGUGGGGAGCAAACAGGAUUAGAUACCCCCGUAGUCCCUGUCUCUUAUAC